rnacentral:piRNA from 1 species
UGCAUGAUACAGCUUUCAAACCUAACUGUC